rnacentral:rRNA from 1 species
UACGAAGGGGGCUAGCGUUGCUCGGAAUCACUGGGCGUAAAGCGCACGUAGGCGGGUCUUUAAGUCAGGGGUUAAAUCCUGGAGCUCAACUCCAGAACUGCCUUUGAUACUGAGGAUCUCGAGUCCGGGAGAGGUGAGUGGAACUCCGAGUGUAGAGGUGAAAUUCGUAGAUAUUCGGAAGAACACCAGUGGCGAAGGCGGCUCACUGGCCCGGUACUGACGCUGAGGUGCGAAAGCGUGGGGAGCAAACAGG